GCACGGAUGGCCGAGUGGUCUAAGGCGCCAGACUCAAGUAUAAACUUCGCGAGAGCAGUCGCGACGGGCGUUCUGGUAUCCGUAUGGAUGCGUGGGUUCGAAUCCCACUCCGUGCA
rfam:Ascaris lumbricoides genome assembly, scaffold: ALTE_scaffold0001944